rnacentral:lncRNA from 1 species
CCGCCACGGGAGGAAGACAUGACUUUGGCUUUCCACCAUGAUUGUCAGGCCUCCCCAGCCACGUGGAACUGUAUAUUUUCUUGGAAUAGCAUCCUGGACAAUGAAGAAGAAAGACAUGUGGAGCCUGGGACAUUGAGGAACAUCACACAGCCACAGCACAGUGUUUACAUCCUCGUAUUUCCACUAACAUGUAGCUGCUGAACUCAAUCCUGGCCUAAAAUCAUAGCAUCCUGCCUGCGUAACUACUUCCAGAUGGAAACUCACUGUGUAGGGUGUAUGCUAUCCUAAGAUGGAGUUUUGCUCUGUCGCCCCGGCUGGAGUGCAGUGAGGCAAUCUCAGCUCACGCAACCUCUGCCUCCCAGGUUCAAAGUGAUUCUUUUUUAAAUGACUGUUAUUUUAACUAAGAUUUUAAAAAUGUAUACUAUGUAGCAAUGUUUAAUUUCUUAUCACAGGACCUAUCUUCCUUUACCUUCUGAUUUGAUUACAUUUAUUUUUCUACUCCAACUUUCAGUGCAUCAGGGUUUAGUUUUCCUGAAUUAACUACUAUGAAAUUGAUGGCUCUCUCUCACUGGUCUGCAUACAGCUACCUAAGUCCAGGUAGAAUAAGACUGAUCACUCCUUGGUAAGCUCCUUUGCUCAUUAGCAGACCCCUAUUACCCUUCUGUAGAACAGAGAAUCCCACGUGCAGUUUCCUUUUUUAUUUACGUAGCUCGUGUGCCGUUUUAAAAUUUUUGUCCUCCUAUCUGAUUUGCCACUGCAAAUUGCACACUACUAAAUGUUUCCUAAGGAAAAGGAGGUUAUGCAACAGAAAAUUGGAUCCCUACAAGUUAUUAAAUCCUUAGUGGUCACUUUGCUUUCAUCAUUUCACCUUUAAAUAAAGGCUGUAACAUUUACAAGCCACUAUGUGACUUGCACGCGUAAGAACACUGCCUGGCUAUUUACAGUACAUUGCCUCGCGAGAUGGGGGGUGAUUCCCUCUCGCAUUAAAAUGCUCAAAAGCAAUCAGCUGUGCUGCCUAUCAUACAAUCCAAGUAAGAUCAUAAAGGAAAAUAAGAAUUACGUUCAAAUUGUAUCAAAUUGUGUCCUACAUAGAAGGAUGACUGUGUUCACGUAAACAAAAAUAUUUUGGUAGAUGAAUUACUUGAUUUCUAGACUUUAUCUUAAAAUUCAUAGACUGCAUUUGCUUAAAAAGGCAGGGGGAGUAUUGAAAAUUUUGUAAAAUUCAUAAUGGCUCUAUAAAGAGAAGUUAUGAUUCAGAUGAAUUUUAAUUUCUUUCAGGCUAAUCACAAAAGUUCAGUUAAUUAACACCAAAAUAGCUUUUUUCACUCUCAUAGUAAAUAUACGAAAAUUUUACCUUGUACGGCAUUUUUAACAGCAUAGAUUUUUAUUUGCAAACUCAAGAUCCACGGAGAGGCAAUCCUGUUAAACUCAUUUUGACCACAGAAAUUAAUCCAUUCUACAGUAUUGCUCAUAGUAUUUAAAGGGCAGGGAGACCAAACACUGCCUGUCAAAAUCCUGCACAUGCCUGAUGCUAAGCUGCCAUCUGUGUCCUCAAGCCUUAGUGAAGUGUCACCACAGCCAUUGGCCCAAUGCUAAGUUCUGUGGCAGUACUUAAACUACUGUGUUUCGUACUAUAACUACCUAUAUCAUUUUGUUUUCUCCAAACACACAACCACAUGUUUAACUGAAGGUUCUUUGAAAUCAGACUGUGGGUCUAAAUUUUCUAAGUUAUAGCACCUAGUUCAGAGACCUAUGCACAGUAGACUCUUGGAGAAUGAAUAAAUCAUUGCACAUUUCAGGAAACCACUAAUACAUGGUAUUAAACUAUAUUAC